rnacentral:rRNA from 1 species
ACGAAAGUCUGACGCAGCAACGCCGCGUGAGCGAUGAAGGCUUCGGGUUGUAAAGCUCUUUUCUGGGGGAAGAGGAAGGACGGUACCCCAGGAAUAAGCCUCGGCUAACUACGUGCCAGCAGCCGCGGUAAAACGUAGGAGGCGAGCGUUAUCCGGAUUUACUGGGCGUAAAGCGCGUGCAGGCGGUCUGGUAAGUUGGAUGUGAAAUCUCCUGGCUCAACUGGGAGGGGUCAUUCAAUACUGCCAGACUUGAGGGCGGAAGAGGGGAGUGGAAUUUCCGGUGUAGUGGUGAAAUGCGUAGAUAUCGGAAGGAACACCAGUGGCGAAGGCGGCUCUCUGGUCCGUGCCUGACGCUAAGACGCGAAAGCUAGGGUAGCGAAUGGGAUUAGAAACCCCAGUAGUCCUAGCU